rnacentral:rRNA from 1 species
CAAUAGCGUAUAUUAAAGUUGUUGCGGUAAAAAAGCUCGUAGUUGGAUUUCUACCGAAGAUAGCCGGUCGGGUCUUCGACCUUGUAUCUGGUUUUGUCUUUGGUAUCCUCAUAGGGAACGUUUCUGCGCUUUAUUGCGUGGUGCGGUAUCUAUGACUUUUACUUUGAGGAAAUUAGAGUGUUCACGACAGGCAAACGCCUUGAAUAUAUUAGCAUGGAAUAAUAACAUAGGAUCUUCGUCCUAUUUUGUUGGUUUCUAGGGCUAAGAUAAUGAUUAAUAGGGAUAAUUGGGGGCAUCUGUAUCAACGCGUCAGAGGUGGAAUUCUUGGAUUGCGUUGCGACAAACUACUGCGAAAGCAUUUGCCAAGGAUGUUUUCAUUGA